rnacentral:rRNA from 1 species
GAUGAACGCUGGCGGCGUGCCUAAUACAUGCAAGUCGAACGGAGAGUCUUUGUAGCAAUACGAGGGCUUCUUAGUGGCGAACGGGUGAGUAACGCGUUGGUGACCUGCCCCAAAGUGUGGGAUAACAGUCCGAAAGGAUUGCUAAUACCGCAUGUGGUCCCCGGGUUUAGAAACCGGUGACUAAAGCAGUAAUGCGCUUUGGGAGGGACCUGCGUCCCAUCAGCUAGUUGGUGAGGUAACGGCCCACCAAGGCUACGACGGGCAGGGGACCUGAGAGGGUGGCCCCCCACAAUGGAACUGAAACACGGUCCAUACACCUACGGGUGGCAGCAGUAGGGAAUAUUGCACAAUGGGCGAAAGCCUGAUGCAGCAACGCCGCGUGCGCGAAGAAGGUCUUCGGAUCGUAAAGCGCUUUUCUGGGAGAUGAGAAAGGACAGUAUCCCAGGAAUAAGUCUCGGCUAACUACGUGCCAGCAGCCGCAGUAAAAC